rnacentral:lncRNA from 1 species
AUAGGACUGCUCAUCUCUAUCAAAGUUGAUAGAUCCCAUCUUGAUGCGCACCUUAUUCCUACAGUAGACCAACUAUUGCCAACAUCAACUACAAGGGCUCAUUAAGAUCUAUGUUUAUGUGUCAGUCAAACUUCAAUAACCUCACUGCUAGCAGUCAUAUCAUCUUAGGUCAAAAGAUCAUUCACAUAACUACAGCAUCGAGACAAUCACUGACGAUCG